GAGGAGGAAGGAGGGUCGUCCGUCUCGACACGGUCCUUCAGACGCCGCUUUGCCCUGCCUCACAGCACUGACAUGACACGCAUCACUUCUGUCAUGUCUUCGGAUGGCAUCCUCACAAUAACUGCUCUCAAAACGGCAGGAGAACCACAGCAAAACUCACUCGUUAACUUCUCCGCGACCGAGGAAAGGAAGGAAUCAUCAACAGCUCAAGACUCAACACCCGAAGCAGUUUCGUCCACGACGGAGAAAAAUAUCUCUGUUCACGAGAAUCUUGUUAAUGUGGAUCAGAUGGA